AACGCACCUUGCGCUCCAUGGUAUUCCGUGGAGCAUGCCUGUUUGAGUGCCGCGAAUUCUCCCUCCCCUUACGGUGGCCGAAAGGCCGAAGUAGGGCGGACGGGGUAGGAUGGGUGUUGCUGCCUGGGGAUUGUACCAGGCUCGCCCGAAAUGCAUAAGCGCCAGGACCCUCGCUACCGCUCUCUAGGGAAGAGUGGCUAAGCGACCGCUGAGCAUGGCAUGAUACGUCAUUUGCUGUGUGUGGGCGGCCGGUUGGAGAGGUGUCUGCUUUACCAGCCCUUUUUUAAUUCUGGUCUCAAAUCAGGUAGGAUCACCCGCUGAACUUAA
rnacentral:misc_RNA from 2 species